UGCAAUUCAGCGUCUUAUGGCUUCAGUCCUUCCUGGUGUGAGAGAUGCAGCCCUGCGAAAAAGUAUGCAGCUCCCUACUUCUCCGCCGUCUGCCGGGAUCCUCCAAACAGUUUGUUUUUAAUCCUGCGGUCUGAUCUAACCAGUACCCACAGGAAAAAAAAAUUUUUAAGUCAAUACAUUGACUUAUCAAUUCAGAGAUAAUGAGUGCUCACCAUUGUUUGAGUGUUCUGGAGAUUAAGCAGCAAGAACAGCAGGAAAUGCGUGAGGAAGACGACAUUCGAGUCGGAUGACAAAUUGAAGUGAAACGUGAGGAAGACCGCUGUAAGGAAGCUGCGAGAUUUACGGCAGAAUCAAGACAGAGUCUGCAGUGAGAAAUAAGGAAGCUCUUCCACAUGGUGUUGAAUGAAUGAGUGGACAGAUAAACAUAAACAUACGUGACAAAUAGCAAGAGACUCACCAAUUGAGACCAGAUGACUCAUAUUCUCCAGCAUCACAUCUCUAAAGAGUUUUCUCUGGGAUCCGUCCAGCAGGGUCCACUCUUCCUGGGUAAAGUCUACAGCGACAUCCUCAAAGGUCACUGAUUCCUAGAGCAUUAUGGACACAGUUUUCAGACAGGGCCAUUUCUGACAAUACUCAGGGGAGGACGGUAUAGGUGGCAGCACUAAGGAGAUGGGGGCUGCAUGUACAGAAAGCUGAAACAGGAGGCCGGGUUCCGUCAUCGUUUGCAGUGCACACCUGGACAUAUGAGUUCAAACAGACCCACGGGCCUACGCAUUCUAAAUACAUAACCUUCAUUAUAAAGAGUCCAAGGAAGAGGAGGCCAAGCUGGGAAGGAGAAAGGAGCCAUGAAACUCCAGUUGCCCGUAUUUUCCACAAACACUUGUUACGAAGCCCAAGUUCUGCACCUGGAAGUGACCCCCAGCACAACUGACAUAACAUGCACUGUGCUCCUAAGGACAUGUGGGGGCGGGGAGGAUGGCUCUCCACUACCAGGGAAAAACUUAACGCUCUGAUUCUUGUUGCUUGGAGAAAAGAUAGAAGUACCCUCAAUAUAGGAAGAAGAAUGUGAAAACCCACCUCUCUCCUGAUUCCAAACAGGAUUUCCGGCACCUGUCAUAGGUGGAACCCUUGGGGAAGUUCUCAGGCUACGGUAUUAGUUUGUGUCCUAACUAGCACAUCCCCUGGCUCCACCUCCGCCCUCUGCUAUCUCACUCCAUCCCUCCUCUUCCCCGCCCUCAGCCCUCUGGAUUCCGUAUCAAUCAGGUCUCCUCCAAGAAGGGUCUCCAGCAAUAUCACUCCCUCAACAUUGACCUCUGGAUUUGUUCUGAGUGGGUUUGGUUAUGAAACAACAGAAUGAAAAAUGCAGUUUUAUGGGAAGGUUCAUCAAUUCAGUGACCUCAUUCUGAGGAUCAAUGACACCCAUGCCACAUAUUUAACCCCUAAGAUCCCCUGCAUCAGAGAACUGUAGGAACAUGUGGGCUACAGCACCACCGUCAUGUCCAACAACCUUUACGAGGUAGCUCCCAAAAUUAUACAAUGAAAUGAUUUUAGGAUGGCAUUUAUUUGCUCCAACUAAAGUUGUAGAAAGUUGUUCAUGGAUAUCUGCAUGGGCUGCAACUUUCCUGCAUUUCAUGCUUUGAUUUUCUGUGUGUAUCUGCGAAAGCAUUUAUAUUGUAAAUCUGCCCUAAAACAUCCAGAGUAAGUAUAUUUCAUGGAGAAAUGAUAAUAAUGAGUCACAAACAGAAGCAAGUUUAACCCACCCAUUUGUAUCUCACAUCAGACGAUAGUUUUGUUUUAUAGGACUCUGUGCUUGCAAAUUCACACACAGUUCACUUAUUCCUCAAGAUAAUGCUGCUGGUUAGGAUUUGCAUUAAUUUAAUUAACGUCAUCAUCAGAGGCCCAAGAAACCUUAGUAAUAGGACACCACUCUGCAUACCAGCCUGCAUACACAUAAGCAUACAUUAGAAAGUGGUAUAAGUAGAAUUUGAAUUUUCCUUCCCUGCCUCCUCAUACCAAAUUCUUUAGGCGUCAUGCGUCACGCCUAGAUUUUACCUGGAAUAGUACUGCUAAUACUGACCAUCAGACGACCCACCGUUUUUAUAACUUCUCUCCUUUUUUCACAAAAUUUGUACCUGUGUCCAUGUUUUCUACCACAAAAGAACAUGGCGCUGCCAGAAUUCCUAAACAUCAGCCUCCAGCCCUCCUCAUUUUCACUGCCCAGUUUACUUCUGUCAUCCAUUUUGAUAGAUACUUGCCCAGACUAUACCUGGCUACUCCGUGGCUGUUCAGGCAGCACAGCAUCCGGGUACUGGCCCUCCCUGUGCGGCGGGGGGGGGCCGCGACUCAGAGCUGCGACAGUCUGUACCUGGCGACACCGCUCUUGCUUGGUGACUAGUACGUCUUCCCUGUUCCUUAACUGUCCCGAACCUUCUCUGUGCCUUUGCACUCACACAUUCUGAUUUCUCUCUUUCCAAAAAUGAGGUUUUUCCCACUAAGUAAAUGAAUCAUAUAACUUGAUGUUUUAUUUUCAGAGUGAAUGGUCACUGUAAGCAUUUAUUUUACUGUAAAUAGGGUAUUUUUCUAUUUAUUUUAUUGUGGAAAAAUUCAUACAUUUACCACCCUAAUCAUGUUUUUAGAUUUUCUUUUAAAAUAAUCUCUACAUCCAAUAUGGGGCUUGAACUUACAACCCUGAGAUCAAGAGUCACGUGCUGCACUGACGGACUUCACUCCACGCCAGGCACCCCUCCUUCUAAGCACCGUUAAGUGCAUGGUCCGGUGGUGUUGAAUCCCUUCCUAAUGCUGUGCCACCAUCACCACCGUCUAUCCCCAGAACUCUUCCAACCUUGCAAACCUGCAAACUGGUUCCCGUAAGCCACUCCCAGUCCGCUUCCCCACCCUCACCCUCUGACAACCAUGGAAUUUCCACUGUCUCUAAAGAGUGUAUGUUUUAAAGUGAUGGUAAAAGGAAAUUUUUUUUUUAAUAUUAAGACAUUCCUUUAUAGAAUAUAUUAUCUUGGAAGAAAAGUCAGGCGAUGUAUUUUCCUUUUAGGCAGGAUGUCGUAAGAAAUACUUUGUCGUUUUCUCAACAUUUUAAUCCUCUGACAGCAAAAGAUCUUUACUAUAUACUAUUUUAGUGGAAAACCGUUAGUUGACGAACAUUUUAAUUUUCAUGUAUCUUUGAUAUGUUCUGUCUUUUCAACCUAUUUACUGCAACAUCUGAGCAUCUGAGAGCAAGUGACGAACUCCUUUUGUCAUUAAUAAAUAUAGGUUUCAAGGGG